CGCCCUGCUGCGGGCAGAUGAAGUGCACGUGGCUGUCGAUGCCGCCUGCUGUAACAAUAAGCCCCUCACCGGAGAUUACCUCUGUGCCCGCGCCGAUGUUGAACGUCACGCCGUCCUGUAUGUCGUGGUUGCCGGCGCUGCCGAUUGCAGCGAUAUAGCCGUCCUUGAUGCCGAUGUCCGCUUUGUAGAUCCCGGUAUAGUCGACAAUCAGCGCAUUGGUGAUGACCGUGUCAGCGGUCUCCGUGCAGGAAAGCUGCGACUGGCCCUGGCCGUCACG
rnacentral:sRNA from 1 species